GCUCAGAGAAGAUCGGGAAGCGGAGUGAGAGAACGAUCAAACAGUCCGUUCAAGAGAGAGUAUCAACAACGAUCAAACAGUCCGAUCAGAUUAAGUCAAGGGUUUUCACCCUUUUCUAAGCCUCCAACCCCGAAUUCCCUAUCUCCCCGAUUCGUUCUGGAGAGUAUCAACAACGCUCAGAGAAUUCACCCGACCAAUUCUCAUCUCAAGCACCAUCUAUUUCUUCAACUUGAUGCCUAAUGGGAUGUUAGCAGUCCCCAUGAGAAAGAAACUAAUGAGAUGACAGUGCCUCUGGAAUUAAAGACUUCUCGAACUCAAGCAAUCACUCAACACUGAAGUGGGGACGUGACAAGAGAUUCCAAGGUUGAUGAUACUGAGGUUGAAGGGAAGGAUCACAAAGAAUCAGAUGUAUCCAACCCAGAGGAUGAUGUUAAAGAAGCUGAAAGCUAGAUGGGUCUUAUUGUGGAGCAGACAUCAUUUAUGUUU
rnacentral:lncRNA from 1 species